UGAGCAAUCUGCCCUUCUCAUCGGAAUAAGCGUUGGAAACGACGUCUAAUGCCGAAUACGACCUCCUUCGCAUGAUCGGAGGUGGAAAGCUCCGGCGGAGAAGGAUGAGCUCGCGGCCUAUCAGCUAGUUGGUGUGGGUAAUGGCCCACCAAGGCGACGACGGGUAGCCGGCCUGAGAGGGUGACCGGCCACACUGGGACUGAGACACGGCCCAGACUCCUACGGGAGCAG
rnacentral:rRNA from 1 species